GACGCUGGCGGCAGGCUUACACAUGCAAGUCGAGCGGGGGAAGGUAGCUUGCUACCGGACCUAGCGGCGGACGGGUGAGUAAUGCUUAGGAAUCUGCCUAUUAGUGGGGGACAACAUCUCGAAAGGGAUGCUAAUACCGCAUACGUCCUACGGGAGAAAGCAGGGGAUCUUCGGACCUUGCGCUAAUAGAUGAGCCUAAGUCGGAUUAGCUAGUUGGUGGGGUAAAGGCCUACCAAGGCGACGAUCUGUAGCGGGUCUGAGAGGAUGAUCCGCCACACUGGGACUGAGACACGGCCCAGACUCCUACGGGAGGCAGCAGUGGGGAAUAUUGGACAAUGGGGGGAACCCUGAUCCAGCCAUGCCGCGUGUGUGAAGAAGGCCUUAUGGUUGUAAAGCACUUUAAGCGAGGAGGAGGCUACUUUAGUUAAUACCUAGAGAUAGUGGACGUUACUCGCAGAAUAAGCACCGGCUAACUCUGUGCCAGCAGCCGCGGUAAUACAGAGGGUGCGAGCGUUAAUCGGAUUUACUGGGCGUAAAGCGUGCGUAGGCGGCUUAUUAAGUCGGAUGUGAAAUCCCCGAGCUUAACUUGGGAAUUGCAUUCGAUACUGGUGAGCUAGAGUAUGGGAGAGGAUGGUAGAAUUCCAGGUGUAGCGGUGAAAUGCGUAGAGAUCUGGAGGAAUACCGAUGGCGAAGGCAGCCAUCUGGCCUAAUACUGACGCUGAGGUACGAAAGCAUGGGGAGCAAACAGGAUUAGAUACCCUGGUAGUCCAUGCCGUAAACGAUGUCUACUAGCCGUUGGGGCCUUUGAGGCUUUAGUGGCGCAGCUAACGCGAUAAGUAGACCGCCUGGGGAGUACGGUCGCAAGACUAAAACUCAAAUGAAUUGACGGGGGCCCGCACAAGCGGUGGAGCAUGUGGUUUAAUUCGAUGCAACGCGAAGAACCCUUACCUGGCCCUUGACAUACUAGAAACUUUCCAGAGAUGGAUUGGUGCC
rnacentral:rRNA from 1 species